rnacentral:rRNA from 1 species
CCUACGGGAGGCAGCAGUGGGGGAUAUUGGACAAUGGGGGGAACCCUGAUCCAGCGACGCCGCGUGAGUGAAGAAGUAUUUCGGUAUGUAAAGCUCUGUCAGCAGGGAAGAAAGAAAUGACGGUACCUGAGCAAGCAGCCCCGGCUAACUACGUGCCAGCAGCCGCGGUAAUACGUAGGGGGCCAGCGUUAUCCGGAAUUACUGGGUGUAAAGGGAGCGUAGACGGUUAAGUUAGUCUGGAGUGAAAGGCCGGGGCCCAACCCCGGGACUGCUCUGGAAACUAUUGAACUUGAGUGCAGGAGAGGUAAGCGGAAUUCCUAGUGUAGCGGUGAAAUGCGUAGAUAGUAGGAGGAACACCAGUGGCGAAGGCGGCUUACUGGACUGUAACUGACGUUGAGGCUCGAAAGCGUGGGGAGCAAACAGGAUUAGAUACCCGGGUAGUC